GUCAGCAGCAUGUGCGUGCAGCAGCCUCGAGGUGGGGUCCACGGCCACAGCCGCCGCUCCCCGCCCCCACCCCCUGCUCGGCCCAGAACGGGCAGAUGGUAGGCACCCAGCCGCACCAUUCCAUCCUCAGAAGCGGCAGGCACCUCCCCACGCAGGCCCUGGUGGACAUGCAGCGAGGCCUACACAGAGCGGUACAAACGGGCACAUGCAGACGGAAUCUCGAGACUCAUUCAUAGCUCCGUGGGAAGUGACUGUCGGGGCUUGCCGGAUCAUGGCUGUCUGUGCAGUAGCAGGGAAAGGGGGCGAGGGGCAUUCCUGAGGCCCAGGAAAGGAAUUCUGUGUCCCAGACAGGGGUUCUGUCUUGCUUGGUGGCUUGGGGAGGGGGAAAUGUUGGGCUUCGAUGUGCCAUUGGCUUGGGGAGAUGUUAAGGGCAAGUCUGGGGCUCACCAGGGGAUUCAGAGAGUGGGAGCCAGUAAGCCAGGGGUAGGGUAGGAAGUGGGAUGUUGGAAUAGGGCAGUGACUGAGGCAAUGAACAGAAAGGAGGGCAGUGUGCACACUUGGGCCGGUGUGCACUGCACAAAGGGCUCUUUGCUAGGAAACCACAGACUGCGCAGCAGGAAAGUGUAUUCUCUGUAGCACACUUUCCCAGCAGUGUUCUGAAAACACUCUACUUUAAAUGUACACAAAGGUGCCUCAGGGAGCACGUUGGUUUCCAGAGAUCAGGAUGGGGCUGGGGGCUGGGGGCUGGGGGUGGGGGCACGGACGGACAAGAGGGACACUUGUGGGGAGAGGCUGAAAUCUGAGAGGGAAACUGCCACAUCAUUGGGGUAGUACGGGAGGGAGAAGGGGACAUAGGUGGGGGGGAAGGCUGGGCUACGGAGUCACUUCUGGGGCAUGGGGUUUGAAGGUCAUCCCUGGCCAUCUCGAGGAUGAACUGAGGGAGCAGAUGUCCUCCAGGGCCGGGGGAGAUUCCAGGACAGAAGUCUAGAGGAGCAGCAAUCUCCUCGCUCCCUCAGCUGGCAUACGCCCCUCCCACCCCCAGGCCCCUCCAAGGCAGCGUGCAAGGCCUGAUUGGUGCACCACGUUCGGGGUUGGGGCGGCUGCAGCCCUCCUGCUUGCUCUGAAACAAUGGAGUGGAGAGGAGGAGGUGACAAUACAGCCAGAAGAUCUGAGACAGUUCCUUACCAGGCAGCAGGGUCAUACUCUGCCCAGACACGCACGUAUUCAUCCAAGUGAUGGGGGCCCAGGAUGGAAGAAUCUCGGGUGAGGUACUCGAAGUUGUCCAUGAUGACAGCGACAAAGAGAUUCAGCAUCUGGGGGCCAAUGGGAGUAGAGAGGAGACCGUAGGGGUAGGGGCAGGAACAGGGACACGGAGACCCAAGGGAAAGAGGAAGAGACCAGAUGAAAGGAAACAGACAUAAAAGAUACCCAUUCACAAGGCCAAUGAGAGUGGAAGCUAAUGACAAAGCAGGGAGAGAUGGAUGGACACACACAGAGGCAAAGCCUGAGAGAAGGCACAGUCAGAGGUAAGGGCUUUGUGAGGUGGGUGGUGGUGGUGGUGGUGGGGCAAAGCCAGCGCCUGCUAUGGUCCAAAUUCUCCCACCAUGGCCAAAUUCAGAUUCUCUGCAGGAGGCAGUGUUUGCUACUGGCUCAGAGUAAGGGAGUGGCAGUGUUCCUUAAGAUCCUAUACUGCGCAGACCACAGCCACCAUCCAGAUGUCACCACAUGGGAGACAAUGUCAGUGGCAGGGGGUGAGCAAGUCUUCUACUCCAGUCCCAUUUUCUAGGGAUUCAUUGGCUUGAAUCAGUGCCAGGGGUGAAGACAUGGCCCUCCGCGUGUGCAGACUCACCAGAAACGAGCACAGGAAGAUGAACGAGACAAAGUAGAAGUACGCGAACUCGUUGCCGCAGUCUGCCGUGAGGAUCCCAGAGUUCUUAUCGCACGGCUUCCCGCUGAGGCAGGAGAGCAUGAUGUUGUGCCACGCUUCUCCUGUGGCGCUCCUGAGGAUACGCAGCGUCAGUGACCUGGGCUCUGGCCCCAGAUGGACACUACUGCCUCCCUAGAGGGGUAAGGACUGAGGCUCUGGGCUAGCCAGUCACGGGUGGGCUCAAGGCCCAGAGGACUAUCUUCUUUCCCUAGGUGCUCAAAGUGCCAUGUUCAAGCCUGGUUAUGCCUUAAAUGUCCUCGGGGAGGCAUCAGUGAGGUACCUCGGUACAAGGCUUGCUCACCUGAAUUUGAUCCUUGGGACCCACAUUAUAAAAAGGGGAGAAGUGACUCCCACAAGUUGUCCUUGAUCUCUGCCUAUGUGCCAUGACAGGUGCACCCACACCCACUAAAACUCUAUGCAUGUAAGAAAAAUAAAGCAAGCACUGAAGUGGUGGGGCUGGGAUGUCUGGGGACACCUGUGUGAUUCAAAAACUUUCUUCUCUCCAUGGUCCCAUCUCAUAAUGCUCUGUCUCCAGGCUGCUGCUUCUGGUGUGUCAGACUCAAGCAUAUCAGGCAUGGUCCUGCCUCAGGGAGUCUGCUCUGGCUAUGUGUUCUGCCUAGAUGUCCCUCCCAGGAUCUCUCUCUUUUACAGGGUCUUAUUAUGUAGCCUAGGCUGGUCUCAAGUUCUUAGUCCUCCUGCCUGCAUCUUCUGUGUGCCAAGACUGCAGGUGAGCACCACCAGCCUGUUUCCCUCUUUCUCUGAGCCUUGUCUUAUUCACUUUAACAGUCUCAGUAAUUAGCUAACCAGCGGUGUUCCUCUAGAGACUGUAAGCUCUACAGGGCAGUGUUUGUAUUUUUCCUCUGCCACAUUCUUAGCUAUAGUCUAGUUCCCACGAGACAUGUGGGACAUGCUAACUAUUCAGCCAAGUGUCUGUUGGCUCAAGAAACAUCCUACAUGCAGCCAGGAUUAAGAACCAGACAUCUAGCUAGACCUGGUGGCACAUGACUUUAAUCCUAGCGCUUGGACAGCAGAGGCAGGCAGAGCUUGAGUUUGAGGCUAAUCUGUCUACAGAGCGAUUUCCAGAACACUCAGGACUACACAGAGAAAACCUGACUCAAAAACAAAGAAACAAAAAAACCCAAACCAAACCAACCAACCAACCAAACAAACAUAAAAGCCAAAAAAACCCCAAACAUCUGACUCCACAGGUCUCAUUUCCUUAAAUGUGGAAGAAACUUUUUCUAAAUCAGAAGUUGGCUGGGCAAGGCAUUUAUCUUUACUGAACUGUGGUCUUUGUGCCAACUAGCCAGUCACAUCAGAUUGUGAAGCCAAGCUCCGACCAAUGGGAUGCUGUCACUACCUAUGGCAGGGAUAAAAGACAGAAGCCAUCUUGGUCCCAGUGUGCUUGAUAGACUGGUUUGGGUUUUGGCUCAUACUUUGUACAAAAAAGAAUUGUCUUGCCAGGUGUGGUGGCGCUUGCCUUUAAUCCCAGUACACGGGAGUCAGAGGCAGGCGGAUUUCUGAGUUCGAGGCCAGCCUAGUCUACAAAGUGAGUUCCACGACAUCCAGGGCUACACAGAGAAACCCUGUCUCAACAAACAAACAAACAAACAAACAAAUGAAUUGUCUUGUCCAGCUGCGUUUGCAUUGCUGGUGUGUUCCUUUGUGGAACACGGAGUGUUCUUUGUUUCUAACAAUUGGGGGGCUUGUCUGGAAUUUCAAACCCGUCUGGGGGAGUGUUCAGACUCCCUUCCUUGGGAGACACAUCUGGUGUGUUGUGGUGGCUCCCAAAGGGUCUCAGGUAAGACUAGAAGGGGCCCAGGAAAAGUACACAUCACAGUUGGCCGUCGUCGUUGGGACACUAGGGUUUGUACCCCUAAGUGGCUCUAAAGGACUCUCAAUUUGGAUGUGAGAAAAUCUCCUCCUUAGGGGUGUGGGUGGAGAUGAGGACAAGAAUGGGAAACAAGCAGGUCAGACUGAGCUCCAAGAAAAAGACAGGAAACACAGUCCCAGACCAGGAACCUGGUUUUUGCUGCCCCCCCCCCUUACUCCAUUCACUAUACUCCUACCCUGGUGGACUGGGGAGAGAUGAACCUCCGUUUAGCUUGCUUUCUGCCACUCCCUCUGGGCAGGGAUUCUCCCUUCUUCACUCUCCACAUGGUCCCUAGAGAACCUGGGAGGUCAUGGAUUGGGGUUGGGGGAAGGAAGGAAAACAGUCACAUUGUAUACUUAGAGCUGAUACUUCUGUAGGCCCCAUGACCCCAGGUGGCUGCUUUUCUAACUGGGUAAAAGUGCCGCACAGGACUACCAGGGUUUUAAAUCAGGAUUAACUAUUUGAAUACAUUGUUUUGUUUCACUUUUGGUUUUCAAGAAAGGAUUUCUCUGGGUAGCCCAGGCUGUUCUGGAAGUGGUUCUGUAGAUCUGGCUUCAAACUUACAAAGAUCCACCUGCCACUGUCUCCUGAGUGCUGAGAUUAAAGGUGGGCACCACUAGGUCCAUAAUGGUAUUGUUGUUAUUUGCACUGAGUGUGUAGUUUAGAUUGGGCUUUCUUCUUUGAAGGUGGUGUACAGUACCUCCCUCUAAGGCAAACAACUGUCAUCUUUUUGAGACUAGCUGUGUCUGGUCAUGAAGGGGCGUCAGGGGCUACAGAGGCAGCUCAGCAGCCAAGAGGAUUCGCUAAGGACAACCACAAUAGGCAGGCUACCCGUGGAUAGUGCAGGCCAUGGGGGAGGCUUCAGCCCUGUACAGAGAGCCACAGGCAGCUAAGGGAUGCUGAGAACAUGAGAAAGAGUCUCCUCCAGGCAAGUGCACAUCCACAGGUUAUCCAACACCACAUGCUCUACACCCACACAAGGAAAUUAUACAGGCUGAGUAGGCGGUACUUACAUAUAUUUAUGUAAAUAACGACAAUUGAUGAAAAAAAAAGAGGCCAUAAAUUUAAAAGAGAGUAAGGAAGGGCAUGGGGAGGAUUUGAAGGAAGGAGAGGGAAUGGGGAAAUGAUGGGAAUAUGUUAUAAUCUCAAGAAGUAACAAAGAAAAAGAGCCUGCUGCUCUUGCAGGACACCAGAGUUUGGUUCUUUGCCCCCACACAGGCAGCCUACAAUAACUCCAGUUCUAGGUGGCCUGGAGUGGAAUUUUAGAAGAGCCAUUGCCCCGAGCAUUUACUCUGGAGUGAUGGCCACUUAGUCCUUGUAACAAUCUUUUGUAAAUUAUCAGUAAUUGUUACUUAGGAUUUAUGGGGUUGGUCUUCCUUGGGAAUUUCAGAGCUUUUGCAUGACCUCAGUUGUAAGACACUUCUGACAAACCAGGACUUCCUGUAACGGCUGAUAAUUGCUUAGGUAAUGGUUCCUUCAGACAAUUCUUAGAUCAGACAAGAGGUUUCGAUAUGUUGACUUGAUAAAAGGCCUUUUGUGUAACAAUCAGUAAAUGGGCUUCUUCGAGGCUGUUCAGAGUCCAGUCCAGCAGAGGAGGAUCUCCUUGCUACAAGGGAGGCCUCAAUACAUCCUGCAGCGCUCAGUCAGAACACCAACAGGGCUGACUCCUACAUUCACCUCUGAGGACUACUGCAUACAUUUGGCGUACAUGUGCACACACACCCACACACAAAUAAAUAAAUAAAUAAAUAAAUCUGGAGUUGCUGACUGUUGAUGUUCCUACACAGAGGAGGGCGUGGCAGGGUCACUGGACCCUCGUUGAGUAUCCGCCCCUCCUCCCAGUCAGCUGUGUGCAGUUCUGCUCUAACUGUACUUGGCCUUGAUAUCUUGGGGAGGAACUGGGGUAUAAAGGCAGGGAAGACUAAAGAGAAAGCCUGUAGACAGAUAAGCCUCAAACUCAAGCUCUGCCUGCCUCUGCCUCCCAAGUGCUGGGAUUAAACAGGUCUAGCUAGAUGUCUGAUUCUUUUUUUUUUUUUUUUUUUUUUUUGGUUUUUCGAGACAGGGUUUCUCUGUGUAGCCCUGGCUGUCCUGGAACUCACUUUGUAGACCAGGCUGGCCUCGAACUCAGAAAUCUGCCUGCCUCUGGACCCAAGUGCUGGGAUUAAAGGCGUGCGCCACCAUGCCCGGCUAGAUGUCUGAUUCUUAAUCCUGGCUGUGUGUAGGAUGUUCCUUGAGCCAACAGACACUUGGCUGAGUAGUUAGCAUGUCCCACAUGUCUCGUGGGAAUGGGAACUAGGCUACAGAUAAGAAUGUGGCAGAGGAAAAAUGCAAACACAGUAGUUAAGUUCCCAACUGCUGUAUCUGCCCUUCUGGGCAGUCAACAGCCAUUCUUGGAGGCCUAUAUGGGUGUGGAUCAAAAGACAAUAUCCCCUAGAUUCCAGGGUACUAUGGGUGUCCUGUAACUCUAGGGGAGACACUUGCUCUCUUGUUCAGGGAGGCCACAGAGACUCACCCAGUGACUCUAACCAGUGUCCUGCCUACAAAGAGGAGUCACCAUAUAGAGUCUCCAGGCUUCCAGUGAAGUCCUGUUCAAGCAAGGCCUCUGACCUGUCCUCACAUAGAUGGAGCUACCACCAAAGGAGCCAGCGGUCCCUCUUAAACCCGAG